UACGGAGGGUGCGAGCGUUGUCCGGAAUUACUGGGCGUAAAGCGUGCGUAGGUGGUUUUUUAAGUCCGUUGUGAAAGCCCUGGGCUCAACCUGGGAAUGGCAGUGGAUACUGGAAAGCUAGAGUGCGGUAGAGGGUAGUGGAAUUCCCGGUGUAGCAGUGAAAUGCGUAGAGAUCGGGAGGAACACCAGUGGCGAAGGCGGCUACCUGGACCAGCACUGACACUGAGGCACGAAAGCGUGGGGAGCAAACAGG
rnacentral:rRNA from 1 species